ensembl:rRNA 5S_rRNA 5S ribosomal RNA
UGCAGCAGCUAGCUCUCUGCAAAUCUUACAUGGUCAUCCACUGAAGCCAAGCAGGGCUGCACCUGGUCAGUACCUGGAUGGGAGACCACAUGGGAAAGCUUGGUUGCUGCUGAAA